rnacentral:lncRNA from 1 species
UUGUAUUUCUUCUUCUUUUUUUUUUUUUUUUUCCUUUUCUGUUUUUGUUUUGUGUUUUCCCCCUAAACUUUCCAGGUCAGAGUACACCUGUAAGCCAGCUGGGUUCUUCAGACUUCCCUGAGUCCCCUGAUCCAUUCCAGCCACUCGGGGCUGACAGCGGCGACCCGUUCCAAAAUAAAAAGGGGUUUGGGGACCCAUUUAGUGGCAAAGAUCCAUUUGCCCCUUCCUCUUCAGCUAAACCUCCUAAGACCUCUUCCUCCGGCUUUGCCGACUUCACCUCUGUAAGUUGAGUCCUCCCUCGGCCACCUUCCUGCCUCGCUUGCUGCUUCUCGGGGUGGGGGUCCCUCUGCAGCUAUGGACACUGCUUUGCCCUGCUGCUGGUGCCUCCCAACAGUCACCAACUACUUUUGUUAUUUAUUCUGCGAUGGCUUCUGUAAGGCAAAUAGACUGUUGAUAAAGAUGAGAGCCAUGGUUUAACGAACUGCAGGGAGAGUGGCGUGCGCACACACACACACACACACACACACACACACACACACACACACAGCAUGCCUGCCUCAGUACUCAGUGGCUUGUGAUCUGUGGCCCUCAGAAGAUGUUCUGUUCACUGGGUCUUUGAGACAAGGCCUAGCUAUGUAACACAGGCUGGCCUGGAACUCAAAGAGUCCACCUGUCUCUGUCUUUAGUUGGUACUAAAGGUGUGUGCCACCACACUGGUUCAUUGUGUCUGGAGGCAGAGCAGACAGGCACUUCCCGAGACCAAUUACAAACAUUUCACCAGGAUUCUGCUGCCUCCAAAAAGACCUUUGAGUCAGUGGUCCUGCCCAAGUGCAUCAUGCAAUUAGGAGCAAAAGAGUCCAGGUAGGGUAUCCAGAGAGUGAGAGAUUUGGAUACUGUUCAUUGUGCUUUUAUCUGAUUUCUGUUUAUUAGCUACACUGAAAAAUAUUUCAACCUAGAUGACCACCUUGGAACCUCUUUUCUUUUCCAAGGGUUCAGAAAGACCACUUGUCCAAAGUGGCUAGAGACUUUGUGGAAGCUCCCAGGGCUCUCACUAGCACUGCCUUGCUAUCUGUGGAGAGCCUGCCAGUGCCUUCAGCAUAGCCUCAGCAUCCUCCAGCACCUCAGGGCAGCCGUGCUUGGUGCUGUCUCCUGUAAUCCAUUUCGCCCUUCAGGUUGAGGCCGUUUUUUUUUCAAGAGCUCUCCUUUGUGCUGGUGAAGCUCCUUGCUUGGCUGUCAGGAGAGACUGGAGAGCUGCUCUGUUUACUGAUUUAUGUUUGUUUCUUUGAAAUAAGCCUGGACCUUCUUAGUCUCUAUCCUAGAAUGACCUUGAGCUACUUACUGAUCCUUGCACCCUAACCUAUGUGUACUAUGUGCACGGCUGGAAUGACAGGUGUCAAGCGGACCUGGAGGGCUGAAGUGUGUAGCUCAGUCAUGAUGGACAGGCAGAGCCUGCAUAUAACCCUAGCUUCCAUUCCCAGUACAAAACCAAACAAAACCCACUUGUAUUGCACAAUAAAUACCCUGGUCCUCCCCAGCCAAUUGUCCUGUAGCUUAAUUUGAAUUGCCUAAGGCAUACCUGGGCCCAGUGGCAGUUACCUCUCAUCCCAGUACUGGGAUGGAAGGCUGAGGCAGGAGGAUCUCAAGUUUGAAGCCAGCCUGAGAUACAGAAGGAGAUGCUGCCUAAAAAUAUUAAUAGUAAUAAUAUGUUGAUUCCUGGGGUCUUGUAACUAUUUGUCUCUGUAGCCCAUCAGUUCCGUUGACAGUGCCUACAAUGUGCCUUCAGAAAAGUGACAUUAUUAGUAAAAACCAGAGACAAAAGCACUUUGAGUUGUUUGGAUAUCACCAGGGUUAUUUUCUGGUGGAAACUACUAACCACAAAGGCCAGAGCUGGUAUAGUGAGUCCAGCGUGUGCCUAGCAUGCCCUGCCCUGGGCCCAUCCCCGGGGCCACACAGCCUUCUCUCUCAGCAGCAGGAUUAGGAGUUCCAGUUCAGCCUGGACUACAAAAAUAAAAUAAUCCAUUUUAAAAACAAGCAGUGCCGGUGUGAUGGUGCACGCCUUUAAUCCCAGCACUUGGGAGGCAGAGGCAGGCAGAUUUCUGAGUUCAAGACCAGCCUGGUCUACAGAGUGAGUUCCAGGACAGCCAGGGCUAUACAGAGAAACCCUGUCUCGAAAAAAACCAAAAAAAAAAAAAAAAAAGAUUAAAACCAAACAAGCAAACAGCACAGCUGUUGGCACAUGACUCCAGUGCUCGGUUCAGGCAGGGGAGAGUGGUGAUGGAGCUGAACCACAGUGUAGAGAAAUGACUGGCCUUUCUGAAAAGCCAGUUUACUUCCUGUGCCCACACAGGCAGAACACCCCAGCCCUGCUGUUUUGUCAUGAACACCAGGUUCCAAGCUGUGACUGAGCUAACAACUCGUUGCCCCAGAGUAGUUACAGGCUUCAGUUUUAUUUUUCAAGUUUAUCUGUUUGUUGUUUGGGUUUUGAGAAACGGAUUCACCCAGUCUGGUCUCAAUUUUAUAGCUUCUAAAUGCUGGGAUGUCAGGCACCGCACCAUACCUAGUUUAAAUUCUGAUUUAAACACUCUCAUCUCCAGAUAGGAAACCAAAUCCUGCCUGGCCUGGCCUGUGGCCUUUUAUUGUUAUGAAGUUGUUGUCACCUUCACCACCACGAGGGGCCCUGUGUCCCCAUCAGUACACACGGUCUUCUCUGGAACAGGACCAUGUUCCAGAAAAAUCUGGUAGGAUUUUGAACUUCCCCUUGCUGAGCCAUAAAUAUACUGCCCUCCCAGGACUUGGGAUGGCCCUCCAUGAGCCUGCUUUCCAGGAUCCUUGGGACUUUAAUGCUGUGCAAACUCUGAAAAGGUUGUCAUCACGUACAGAAAGCAGCCUGCUUAGCUUGGGCUUCCAGAACUGAUUUCACCCAAGCAGGAUGGCCACUGCUAUCUUUGGUACCUGCAGUGGCACCCCAGAGCUUUCUGGUAAUGGGUGACUGCCCGCCCUCAGUAGCUCCUUAGCACUCGCAGAAGCUUCUGGGCUGUGACUGUAGCUCAGCAAUGCACACUUAGUACACCUAAAGCCCAAGACUUUAUCCCCAGCACUGUGUAAAGCAGACUUGGUGCAGGCCUGUCACAUCAGGAGGUCAUCCUCAGCUGGUUCAAGUCCAGCAUGGGUUACAAGAGACCCUGUC